rnacentral:rRNA from 1 species
GGAGUUAGCCGGUGCUUCUUCUGUGAGUGAUGUCCUUCCUGCCGGCUAUUAACCCGCAGGCCUUCUUCCUCACUGAAAGUGCUUUACAACCCGAAGGCCUUCUUCACACACGCGGCAUGGCUGGAUCAGGGUUGCCCCCAUUGUCCAAUAUUCCCCACUGCUGCCUCCCGUAGGAGUCUGGGCCGUGUCUCAGUCCCAGUGUGGCUGAUCAUCCUCUCAGACCAGCUACGGAUCGUCGCCUUGGUGAGCCGUUACCUCACCAACCAGCUAAUCCGACAUAGGCUCAUCCGAUAGCGCGAGGCCCGAAGGUCCCCCGNUUUCCCCCGUAGGGCGUAUGCGGUAUUAGCCUGGGUUUCCCCAGGUUAUCCCCCACUACCGGGCAGAUUCCUAUGCAUUACUCACCCGUCCGCCGCUCGCCACCAGGAGCAAGCUCCCCGUGCUGCCGCUCGACUUGCAUGUGUUAGGCCUGCCGCCAGCGUUCAAUCUGAGCCAUGAUCAAACUCUGA